AGUUCGUAACAAGGUUUUCCGUAGGUGAACCUGCGGAAGGAUCAUUAAAGAAAUUUAAUAAUUUUGAAAAUGGAUUUUUUUGUUUUGGCAAGAGCAUGAGAGCUUUUACUGGGCAAGAAGACAAGAGAUGGAGAGUCCAGCCGGGCCUGCGCUUAAGUGCGCGGUCUUGCUAGGCUUGUAAGUUUCUUUCUUGCUAUUCCAAACGGUGAGAGAUUUCUGUGCUUUUGUUGUAGGACAAUUAAAACCGUUUCAAUACAACACACUGUGGAGUUUUCAUAUCUUUGCAACUUUUUCUUUGGGCAUUCGAGCAAUCGGGGCCCAGAGGUAACAAACACAAACAAUUUUAUCUAUUCAUUAAAUUUUUGUCAAAAACAAGAAUUUUCGUAACUGGAAAUUUUAAAAUAUUAAAAACUUUCAACAACGGAACUCUUGGUUCUCGCAUCGAUGAAGAACGCAGCGAAAUGCGAUACGUAAUGUGAAUUGCAGAAUUCCGUGAAUCAUCGAAUCUUUGAACGCACAUUGCGCCCCUUGGUAUUCCAGGGGCAUGCCUGUUUGAGCGUCAUUUCCUUCUCAAACAUUCUGUUUGGUAGUGAGUGAUACUCUUUGGAGUUAACUUGAAAUUGCUGGCCUUUUCAUUGGAUGUUUUUUUUCCAAAGAGAGGUUUCUCUGCGUGCUUGAGGUAUAAUGCAAGUACGGUCGUUUUAGGUUUUACCAACUGCGGCUAAUCUUUUUUUAUACUGAGCGUAUUGGAACGUUAUCGAUAAGAAGAGAGCGUCUAGGCGAACAAUGUUCUUAAAGUUUGACCUCAAAUCAGGUAGGAGUACCCGCUGAACUUAAGCAUAU
rnacentral:rRNA from 1 species